rnacentral:rRNA from 1 species
UUUAUAUGAGAGUUUGAUCCUGGCUCAGGAUGAACGCCGGCGGUGUGCCUAAUACAUGCAAGUCGUACGCACUGGCCCAACUGAUUGAUGGUGCUUGCACCUGAUUGACGAUGGAUCACCAGUGAGUGGCGGACGGGUGAGUAACACGUAGGUAACCUGCCCCGGAGCGGGGGAUAACAUUUGGAAACAGAUGCUAAUACCGCAUAACAACAAAAGCCGCAUGGCUUUUGUUUGAAAGAUGGCUUUGGC